rnacentral:rRNA from 1 species
ACGAACGCUGGCGGCAGGCUUAACACAUGCAAGUCGAACGCCCCGCAAGGGGAGUGGCAGACGGGUGAGUAACGCGUGGGAACAUACCCUUUUCUACGGAAUAGCUCUGGGAAACUGGAAUUAAUACCGUAUACGCCCUACGGGGGAAAGAUUUAUCGGGGAAGGAUUGGCCCGCGUUGGAUUAGCUAGUUGGUGGGGUAAAGGCCUACCAAGGCGACGAUCCAUAGCUGGUCUGAGAGGAUGAUCAGCCACAUUGGGACUGAGACACGGCCCAAACUCCUACGGGAGGCAGCAGUGGGGAAUAUUGGACAAUGGGCGCAAGCCUGAUCCAGCCAUGCCGCGUGAGUGAUGAAGGCCUUAGGGUUGUAAAGCUCUUUCACCGAUGAAGAUAAUGACGGUAGUCGGAGAAGAAGCCCCGGCUAACUUCGUG